AUUGAACGCUGGCGGCAGGCCUAACACAUGCAAGUCGAGCGGAGCGGCGGACGGGUGAGUAAUGCCUAGGAAUCGGCCUGGUAGUGGGGGAUAACGUUCGGAAACGGGCGCUAAUACCGCAUACUAUCAGAUUAGCAUAGGUCGGAUUAGCUAGUUGGUGGGGUAAAGGCCUACCAAGGCGACGAGCCGUAACUGGUCCGAGAGGAUGAUCAUGCAAACUGGAACUGGGACACGGUCCAGACUCCUACGGGAGGCAACAGUGGGGAAUCUUCCGCCAUGGACGAAAGUCUGACGGAGCAACGCCGCGUGAGUGGUGGAGGCCUUCGGGUUGUAAAGCUCUUUUAAUCGGGACGCGGUACCGGAAGAAAAAGCCACGGCUAACUACGUGCCAGCAGCCGCGGUAAUUC
rnacentral:rRNA from 1 species